GAGGGUAUAGCUCAGUGGUAGAGCGCAUGCUUAGCACGCACAAAGUCCUGGGUUCAAUCCCCAGUACCUUCA
rnacentral:tRNA from 1 species